rnacentral:rRNA from 1 species
GGGUUGUGAGGUUAAGCGACUAAGCGUACACGGUGGAUGCCCUGGCAGUCAGAGGCGAUGAAGGACGUGCUAAUCUGCGAUAAGCGUCGGUAAGGUGAUAUGAACCGUUAUAACCGGCGAUUUCCGAAUGGGGAAACCCAGUGUGUUUCGACACACUAUCAUUAACUGAAUCCAUAGGUUAAUGAGGCGAACCGGGGGAACUGAAACAUCUAAGUACCCCGAGGAAAAGAAAUCAACCGAGAUUCCCCCAGUAGCGGCGAGCGAACGGGGAGGAGCCCAGAGCCUGAAUCAGUGUGUGUGUUAGUGGAAGCGUCUGGAAAGGCGUGCGAUACAGGGUGACAGCCCCGUACACAAAAAUGCACAUAUUGUGAGCUCGAUGAGUAGGGCGGGACACGUGGUAUCCUGUCUGAAUAUGGGGGGACCAUCCUCCAAGGCUAAAUACUCCUGACUGACCGAUAGUGAACCAGUACCGUGAGGGAAAGGCGAAAAGAACCCCGGCGAGGGGAGUGAAAAAGAACCUGAAACCGUGUACGUACAAGCAGUGGGAGCCUCUUUAUGGGGUGACUGCGUACCUUUUGUAUAAUGGGUCAGCGACUUAUAUUCUGUAGCAAGGUUAACCGAAUAGGGGAGCCGAAGGGAAACCGAGUCUUAACUGGGCGUUAAGUUGCAGGGUAUAGACCCGAAACCCGGUGAUCUAGCCAUGGGCAGGUUGAAGGUUGGGUAACACUAACUGGAGGACCGAACCGACUAAUGUUGAAAAAUUAGCGGAUGACUUGUGGCUGGGGGUGAAAGGCCAAUCAAACCGGGAGAUAGCUGGUUCUCCCCGAAAGCUAUUUAGGUAGCGCCUCGUGAAUUCAUCUCCGGGGGUAGAGCACUGUUUCGGCAAGGGGGUCAUCCCGACUUACCAACCCGAUGCAAACUGCGAAUACCGGAGAAUGUUAUCACGGGAGACACACGGCGGGUGCUAACGUCCGUCGUGAAGAGGGAAACAACCCAGACCGCCAGCUAAGGUCCCAAAGUCAUGGUUAAGUGGGAAACGAUGUGGGAAGGCCCAGACAGCCAGGAUGUUGGCUUAGAAGCAGCCAUCAUUUAAAGAAAGCGUAAUAGCUCACUGGUCGAGUCGGCCUGCGCGGAAGAUGUAACGGGGCUAAACCAUGCACCGAAGCUGCGGCAGCGACGCUUAUGCGUUGUUGGGUAGGGGAGCGUUCUGUAAGCCUGCGAAGGUGUGCUGUGAGGCAUGCUGGAGGUAUCAGAAGUGCGAAUGCUGACAUAAGUAACGAUAAAGCGGGUGAAAAGCCCGCUCGCCGGAAGACCAAGGGUUCCUGUCCAACGUUAAUCGGGGCAGGGUGAGUCGACCCCUAAGGCGAGGCCGAAAGGCGUAGUCGAUGGGAAACAGGUUAAUAUUCCUGUACUUGGUGUUACUGCGAAGGGGGGACGGAGAAGGCUAUGUUGGCCGGGCGACGGUUGUCCCGGUUUAAGCGUGUAGGCUGGUUUUCCAGGCAAAUCCGGAAAAUCAAGGCUGAGGCGUGAUGACGAGGCACUACGGUGCUGAAGCGACAAAUGCCCUGCUUCCAGGAAAAGCCUCUAAGCAUCAGGUAACAUUAAAUCGUACCCCAAACCGACACAGGUGGUCAGGUAGAGAAUACCAAGGCGCUUGAGAGAACUCGGGUGAAGGAACUAGGCAAAAUGGUGCCGUAACUUCGGGAGAAGGCACGCUGAUAUGUAGGUGAAGCGACUUGCUCGUGGAGCUGAAAUCAGUCGAAGAUACCAGCUGGCUGCAACUGUUUAUUAAAAACACAGCACUGUGCAAACACGAAAGUGGACGUAUACGGUGUGACGCCUGCCCGGUGCCGGAAGGUUAAUUGAUGGGGUUAGCGGUAACGCGAAGCUCUUGAUCGAAGCCCCGGUAAACGGCGGCCGUAACUAUAACGGUCCUAAGGUAGCGAAAUUCCUUGUCGGGUAAGUUCCGACCUGCACGAAUGGCGUAAUGAUGGCCAGGCUGUCUCCACCCGAGACUCAGUGAAAUUGAACUCGCUGUGAAGAUGCAGUGUACCCGCGGCAAGACGGAAAGACCCCGUGAACCUUUACUAUAGCUUGACACUGAACAUUGAGCCUUGAUGUGUAGGAUAGGUGGGAGGCUUUGAAGUGUGGACGCCAGUCUGCAUGGAGCCGACCUUGAAAUACCACCCUUUAAUGUUUGAUGUUCUAACGUUGGCCCGUAAUCCGGGUUGCGGACAGUGUCUGGUGGGUAGUUUGACUGGGGCGGUCUCCUCCUAAAGAGUAACGGAGGAGCACGAAGGUUGGCUAAUCCUGGUCGGACAUCAGGAGGUUAGUGCAAUGGCAUAAGCCAGCUUGACUGCGAGCGUGACGGCGCGAGCAGGUGCGAAAGCAGGUCAUAGUGAUCCGGUGGUUCUGAAUGGAAGGGCCAUCGCUCAACGGAUAAAAGGUACUCCGGGGAUAACAGGCUGAUACCGCCCAAGAGUUCAUAUCGACGGCGGUGUUUGGCACCUCGAUGUCGGCUCAUCACAUCCUGGGGCUGAAGUAGGUCCCAAGGGUAUGGCUGUUCGCCAUUUAAAGUGGUACGCGAGCUGGGUUUAGAACGUCGUGAGACAGUUCGGUCCCUAUCUGCCGUGGGCGCUGGAGAACUGAGGGGGGCUGCUCCUAGUACGAGAGGACCGGAGUGGACGCAUCACUGGUGUUCGGGUUGUCAUGCCAAUGGCACUGCCCGGUAGCUAAAUGCGGAAGAGAUAAGUGCUGAAAGCAUCUAAGCACGAAACUUGCCCCGAGAUGAGUUCUCCCUGACCCUUUAAGGGUCCUGAAGGAACGUUGAAGACGACGACGUUGAUAGGCCGGGUGUGUAAGCGCAGCGAUGCGUUGAGCUAACCGGUACUAAUGAACCGUGAGGCUUAACCUUACAACGCCGAAGGUGUUU